GAUGAACGCUGGCGGCGUGCCUAAUACAUGCAAGUCGAGCGAACAGACGAGGAGCUUGCUCCGCUGACGUUAGCGGCGGACGGGUGAGUAACACGUGGAUAACCUACCUAUAAGACUGGGAUAACUUCGGGAAACCGGAGCUAAUACCGGAUAAUAUAUUGAACCGCAUGGUUCAAUAGUGAAAGACGGUUUUGCUGUCACUUAUAGAUGGAUCCGCGCCGCAUUAGCUAGUUGGUAAGGUAACGGCUUACCAAGGCAACGAUGCGUAGCCGACCUGAGAGGGUGAUCGGCCACACUGGAACUGAGACACGGUCCAGACUCCUACGGGAGGCAGCAGUAGGGAAUCUUCCGCAAUGGGCGAAAGCCUGACGGAGCAACGCCGCGUGAGUGAUGAAGGUCUUCGGAUCGUAAAGCUCUGUUAUUAGGGAAGAACAGAUGUGUAAGUAACUAUGCACGUCUUGACGGUACCUGAUCAGAAAGCCACGGCUAACUACGUG
rnacentral:rRNA from 1 species